rnacentral:lncRNA from 1 species
GGGGAAGAGCGUCCUGAGUACCAGAGGAAUGGAACAUGGAAGUCUGCCCAAGGCAAGCGCUUUACCUGAAGGGGCAGGACUGGAGUUCGUAUUGUCUUUCCUAAUGAUGGUCCAAAAUUGCAUAAGCUUUGCAAUUUCCCAAGAAAACGGGACCCGCCUUUGACUGAGAGAGUUGGCCUCUCACAGACAUCAGUGCAAAGCUACUGAAAGAUGACCUUCAGGAAGAAGAAAGUUGAACUCAGAAGGAAGAGCUUCAGGAGGCUUGAAACUUCAAAAUGAAAGAGGAGAGUCUUAAAAGUGGGACAGUUUAGAGACCCAUUCAGAGGGAGAGGAGCGUUGAGAAACAGAGGCUCAGUCAACAGACGUUUCAGUGGAGUGGCUCACGUGUGAAGGUUCUUCUCCGGUCAGCGCGCCGGCCGUCCCCCUUCAUGGAACACGGCAACUGAGCA